ACUUACCUACCGUCUCUUGUGUGAAAAACAGGUGAUUUAUCUCAGCAAGAGAAACAAAUUACUUGGUGAGAUCUUUGGGGCUUAGUGUUUCUUGUGAUACAAAUCAAGAAUAAGGAUCAUCCACCACAGAUUGCUUUAGAAUGGUUAAGAGGAAAAUAUCUGUUUCGAAUAGCAUAAAAAAAAUGCGACAAGAGAAUUUGGACAACAUAGAAGAUUUGAAGUCGUCUGGCACCACUAAGAAAAUAUCUCCAUCUAUUGAUAUCAAACAAGAGAAAAAUAUGCAACUAGUGGUUAAAUUAGAACGUUUAGAUUUGCGCAAAAUUCAAAAAACACCCAAACAAGAAAAAAAUCCACAACUCGUGGUCAAUUUAGAACGCUUGAAUUUAUCCAAUUUCCAAAAACAAAUCUUCACGUCUUCGGUAAACACCGAGAAACCAAUCGAACUGACUCUAAAUAACAGAAAAUCGCGAAACUUGGAGAAAAUAAUAUCUAGUUUGGCUUUGAAACGAGAAGACAACGAAGUGACCGCUUCUAGUCAAGUUGCUCAGACUUCCACCUACAAAGUUUUGAGAAAAAUCAACAGAAAGAUUUCUACGCAAAGCAGGAAAAUGACCCGAACUGAAACAAUUUUUUUUCGUGAUCGUAGUCAUGAUUUGUCUCGUUUUCUUUCUGAUUAUGCAGUUUCUAUGACGACAAUGAUGUGUGAGUAAUUAUUUGUGUGAAAAGUUUCAGAAUUUUCAAGAAUUAAGGAUAUGCUUCUGUUAAUAUUUUAUUAUAGAUGUUUGCUUUA